rnacentral:misc_RNA from 1 species
UUGGAGGGCAAGUCUGGUGCCAGCAGCCGCGGUAAUUCCAGCUCCAAUAGCGUAUAUUAAAGUUGUUGCAGUUAAAAAGCUCGUAGUUGAAUUUCGGGGUUAGCAGGUCGGUCGUGCCAAUGGUAUGCACUGGCUCGCUGACUCCUCCUUCUUGUAGAACCGUAAUGCCAUUAAUUUGGUGUUGCGGGGAAACAGGACUGUUACUUUGAAAAAAUUAGAGUGUUUAAAGCAGGCUAGCGCCUGAAUACAUUAGCAUGGAAUAAUGAAAUAGGACGUUCGAACCUAUUUUGUUGGUUUCUAGGAUUGACGUAAUGAUUAAUAGGGAUAGUUGGG